GCCCAGCUCAAUCCCCGUACUCUGAGAACUUUGUCAGAAUUCUUGCCCCAACUCUCAGCUCGCCUUGCCUCUGCAUCAGUUUCUCUAUCAAGCCUGACAUUUUCUAGAGCGUCAGGGAUGGCCUCCCCAUCUCGGCCCCUCCAGCCAGACCCUGAUGCCAAAGUCCUGGGACUGACUUCAUCUGGACCAACCUGGGUCACGUGUGCAACUCUGAACCCAUCCUGUAGUCAGGGGAAGGGGCUGCUCUGAUUGGUCGGACCUUGAUCAUGUGAUAACUGGGGCUGCCAAGGACCCUGCCCCCCUUUGCCCCCCUGAGCCUUUGAACAGUAGGUUGCCUAGCAACCGGGUGCGGGCUCUUUUCCUGCACCCAGGCCUGGGAAAGCCACACCAGGGUCCUGAAUGUUGCAUUACAGGGAUCCUCAGUACUUGCAUCUCAGCUGGCUGUGGCUCCUUGGAGCAGAGGACGGCAAGAUAUCCUUGAUUUAAAUCCUGCCAGUGACACUUGCUCACUAAGAGACCUUAGCCCGGCCCUGAUGCAGACAGACAGCUCGGAUGAAAGGUUAAUCAUCUCUGUGUCCCGGAGCCUUUAUCAGAGGGAGGGAGAGACACAUGCUCGAGACUGAACCGCCAGGCCCACCCUCAGCUUUGGACUGACUGCUCUGCUACCAGG
rnacentral:lncRNA from 12 species